UGUGCUCACACUGAAAAAAAAAAAAAAACACUACGCAGAGAGCGAAACCCAAAAGCCACAGCUCUGGGUAUUCUAGGGCUUCAUCGGGAGUCAUUAGUAGUACCCGGGAAGCUUUUUUUUUUUUUUCCGCCAUUUCCUCAAGUCACGCACACAAAUUUGGUAGCUAGAAGAGGAAAAAUGAGUAACAACCCAUUCGCGUUCCUUCCAACGGAACAGCAGGUGAUCAAUCACUUGGUGCUGAAGAUUCUGGGAAUGGAUUCCGAGCUCGAUCCUUAAAUUGAUGUGGUCGACAAUAUGUUGGAGUUUGAACCUUGCGAAUUAGCUGGUAUCAGUGCUAAAUGGUCGAAUAAAGACGAGUGGUGGUUCUUGUCACGGUCAUUUUACAGGAACUCGACCUCCCAAGAUAGACAUAGGAAGACUAAAACAGGGAACUGGAAGAUUACCGGAGAGGGAAAGAAAAUUGAAGAUAGUAUAGGAGAGAAGUCAUAUCUUACCUUCUAUAUAGGUAGUGGCAAGUCUGCCCAAAAGACCGAAUAUACAAUGCAAGAGUACUAUAUUCCACAACAUGACCACCAUCAUCAGGAGUACAUCCUUGUCAUUUGCUGCAUGAGGUUGAGGAAGCAGACGAAGAAGAAGAAGGCGCCCACUCGUGUUACUUCUCGCUCAAAGAAGACAGGGCGGAAGGCCUAUGCUCCACGCCACGAGGAAGGUGAACCUAGUGGAAACAAUAUCACUUCUGAUCUUGAAAAUUCAGUACCAUCUGCUGUAACUUCACUGAAAUUCAACCGUGAUUGCCGCUUGGAGCGAAAAACUGAUGCUAAAAGGCCGAGGACAACUAGUCCAGACUCUGACACAGGGCAGCUAAGCGGCCAAAGCACGACUGGUGAUGAACUUCAGGUACUAUUUUCUGCAAUUUCUGAGUUACAUGGUAACAACCAAGAUAAUCCCGAACAGUUGUUCCUACAACAAAACUCACAAAAUUCCCAUCUUAAAUCUGUCAACGAGGUCCAAGGCUCAUUUGGAGGUGAUAAGGUAGAUGAUGAUGAUGAUGACAUAGAUUUUGCGAAUUCACUCAUUGUUGAUCCUGAUGAAAAUGGAGUAGGAGUACUUCGUGAACGGCAUUGGCAGCAUCAGCGAGGGAGAAAGAAGACAAGGUUGUCCGGUGGCUCCUCCUAUCUCUGGUUCUCUCUCUUUCAAAUCUGGCUGGCAAGAAGACAAGGUCGACCGGUGGCUCCUCCCAUCUCCUCUAGGGAUUUUAGGUGACCGCUAAGGGAUUAAAUGAUCGAUUGUUCUCAAGGGUCGUUCAAUUGUUAUUUCUCGCUCAAACUAGAGGUAAAGGCAAACGAAAGCUGGACCAUCCUUGAGUUGGAGAGCUUAGGUGACAAUGUGUACAUAUGCGACUGCACGACUGCCACGGCCGAGGGUUUAAAGAGGAACUAGGGUUAAACCCUAUUUUGCCGCUUAGGUCGGCUGGUUGUAAAUAUUUUGUUGUAAUUAACCUUUAAAUUAUAUUUUUAGAAUCUCAAUGUAUAUGGUAAACAUUUUAGUGAAACGUUGUAUCUUAACCAAAACUUUUAACCUUAAACCGCUAAUCAUACUUAGUUACACGAUUAUGGUCAAAUGACUCGGUUAGUGAGUU